rnacentral:miRNA from 1 species
AGUGGGAUAGCUGGGUCAAAUGGAGGUUCCAUUCCAAGUUUUCUGAGGAAUCUUCAUAAUGCUUUCCAUAGUGGUUGAACCAAUUUGCAGUCCCAUCAGCAAU